AUCCUCCUAAACUCAGCAGGCCUUUGGGAAACAUGUGUUGUCAAAAUACAGUUGAAACUUUGUUAAACAAUGCUGGUAUCUGCUAUAUACAAUACUUGCAAAAGAGCUAUUUUACAUUGAACAGGGUUUCCUCUAUAUGCUAACAAGGUGAAU